GAUAGCAUCGGGUUAGGGGUUGGGUUGGGUUAGAAUUGGGUGCAUGGGGUCGUGGUCAUUUCUGGAAGUGAGGAAACCAACCGGUAGGGUCUACUCAUUCACUCUGCCCCAAUUUUUUUUUUGUCUUUUUUCUCAUUUUCCCUUUUCCCCAUUUCUCCUUUAUUUUUACUCUUUUUAUAACCCUUCUCUCAUAUCACAUUCUCAUUCACCACCACCACUCAUUCCCUUCUCUCUCUCUUUCACUCCCCCUUGAAGGUAGCCGAGACUUUUGGGGGAUGAUUCAAGAGUUAAAAGAGAACACAAACCAUGUGAAAAAACUUCAUAUAUCUAUCUCUCUCAUGAAAUUCAAGAAAAAAAACUAUUUAGAAAGAAGCUUUAUUUUUGCGGGGAAUGUUGUCUGCUUCGAGGACUUUUUCUUUUUGAUCUAUAAAUUAUCUAUGGUCAAGAAUCGUAAAGUGUUCUCGGACCAGGCUUCAUUCCCCUCAAUUAUAAACUUCCAUUCAUCUGUUCUUAUAUAGAUUGGUGUAAUGAUGAAGCAUUUUGACCAAUUUUAUUUCUCUUUCUCUUCCUCAAAAGGUUUUCAUCAUUACCUCCUUUUUCUUACUCUCUGAUUGUGUUAUGAUGGUGUUUUUCUUGUCAGAUGUAACACUUUUUUCUUUCUUCUUCAUCAUUAGCUAGCUAGAUCUUCUCACAAUUAUGGUUUUUUCCUUCGGAUCUGUCUGUUUCUAGCAUGAAUUUCUCAGAUCUAGCAACCCUUUCAAUGAAUCUUCAACAUUCCACCCCUUCUCCUUUUCACUUUCUCUCUCUACAAUUUCUCUCUCUAGGGUUUCAUGGUAUGCAUUUUGAGUAGUUUCACUCAGAUCUAUAAUUUCACCCAGAUCUAUAAUUAAUAAAGUUUUUCUAAGCUUGGUAUAUAGCUUUUUAUAACCAAAUGGAUUUCAUAUAGUUUAAACCCUAGUUUCAUAUAAAUUUAAAGUACAAAUGCAUCAUUUUCUUCGGUUUAACUUUGAAUUAUAAUGAUAAUGCUUAGUGGUAUCCAUUUAUGAAUCAAUGAUUGAUUAAAAAUGGAAUUAUUCUAGGGUCUUUUUGCUUAACAUUUUUGAGUUGCCUUGUUUUCUUGAUAAGCACGCAGGGAUUUUGAAGAUGAAAAAUGUGAUUCAGAAUGGUGAGAAGGUAGCUAGGGACAUAGGGUAACACGAAUGACAUAAUACAGUCCUUGCUCAGUGCUUAUCUAUCAGCACUUACUGCUUUUUCUUUAUUAUCACCAUGGUUGAUAGUUACAUGUUCAUGCUUACUUGCACGCAAAUGUAUAGUUUUCUUAUAUCAAUGCACUGAAUGUAUCUAAAGUAAUGUAAUUCUUUAAUAAGCACUUAUUUUUUUUCGAUUA